rnacentral:rRNA from 1 species
GAUGAACGCUAGCGGCAGGCUUAAUACAUGCAAGUCGAGGGGUAGCGAGAUUGUAGCAAUACAAUUGUUGACGACCGGCAAACGGGUGCGGAACACGUACACAACCUUCCUACAAGUGGGGAAUAGCCCAGAGAAAUUUGGAUUAAUACCCCGUAACAUAGCGAUGUGGCAUCACAUUGCUAUUAUAGCUUCGGCGCUUGUUGAUGGGUGUGCGGCUGAUUAGAUAGUUGGCGGGGUAACGGCCCACCAAGUCUACGAUCAGUAGCUGAUGUGAGAGCAUGGUCAGCCACACGGGCACUGAGACACGGGCCCGACUCCUACGGGAGGCAGCAGUAAGGAAUAUUGGACAAUGGACGCAAGUCUGAUCCAGCCAUGCCGCGUGAAGGAUUAAGGUCCUCUGGAUUGUAAACUUCUUUUAUAAGGGACGAAAAAAGGUCUUUCUAGAUCGUCUGACGGUACCUUAUGAAUAAGCACCGGCUAACUCCGUGCCAGCAGCCGCCGUAACAC